GACGAACGCUGGCGGCGUGCUUAACACAUGCAAGUCGAACGGAAAGGCCCUGCUUUUGUGGGGUGCUCGAGUGGCGAACGGGUGAGUAACACGUGAGUAACCUGCCCUUGACUUUGGGAUAACUUCAGGAAACUGGGGCUAAUACCGGAUAGGAGCUCCUGCUGCAUGGUGGGGGUUGGAAAGUUUCGGCGGUUGGGGAUGGACUCGCGGCUUAUCAGCUUGUUGGUGGGGUAGUGGCUUAUCAAGGCUUUGACGGGUAGCCGGCCUGAGAGGGUGACCGGCAACAUUGGGACUGGGAUACGGCCCAGACUCCGACGGGAGGAAGCAGGGGGGAAUAUUGCACAAUGGGCGGAAGCCGGAGGCAGAAACGCCGCGUGCGGGAGGACGGCCUUCGGGUGGUAAACCGCUUUGGCCUGGGACGAAGCGUGAGUGACGGUAAUGGGGAAAGAAGCACCGGCUAACUACGU
rnacentral:rRNA from 1 species